UUCAGCAGUACACAUACUAAAGUUAAAAAGAUUAGCAAGGUCUGAACUCAAGGAUAAUGUGAAAAUUUAUGAAAUGUUUCAUA
rnacentral:snRNA from 1 species